rnacentral:rRNA from 1 species
GACGAACGCUGGCGGCGUGCUUAACACAUGCAAGUCGAGCGGUAAGGCCCUUUUGGGGGUACACGAGCGGCGAACGGGUGAGUAACACGUGGGUGACCUGCCCUCAGCUCUGGGAUAAGCCUGGGAAACUGGGUCUAAUACUGGAUAUGACCUUUCCUCGCAUGGGGUUGGGUGGAAAGUUUUUCGGCUGGGGAUGGGCCCGCGGCCUAUCAGCUUGUUGGUGGGGUGAUGGCCUACCAAGGCGACGACGGGUAGCCGGCCUGAGAGGGCGACCGGCCACACUGGGACUGAGACACGGCCCAGACUCCUACGGGAGGCAGCAGUGGGGAAUAUUGCGCAAUGGGCGGAAGCCUGACGCAGCGA